UACAGCCUACGGGAGGCAGCAGUGGGGGAUAUUGCACAAUGGGGGGAACCCUGAUGCAGCGACGCCGCGUGGGCGAUGGAGUGCUUCGGCAUGUAAAGCCCUAUCAGCAGGGAAGAAAAUGACGGUACCUGACUAAGAAGCCCCGGCUAAAUACGUGCCAGCAGCCGCGGUAAUACGUAUGGGGCAAGCGUUAUCCGGAUUUACUGGGUGUAAAGGGAGCGUAGACGGCGUAUCAAGUCUGAUGUGAAAGGCAGGGGCUCAACCCCUGGACUGCAUUGGAAACUGGUAUGCUUGAGUGCCGGAGG
rnacentral:rRNA from 1 species